CCUACGGGAGGCUGCAGUGGGGAAUAUUGGACAAUGGGCGAAAGCCUGAUCCAGCCAUGCCGCGUGUGUGAAGAAGGCCUUCGGGUUGUAAAGCACUUUCAGUGGGGAAGAAAGCCUUGGGGCUAAUACCCUCGAGGAAGGACAUCACCCACAGAAGAAGCACCGGCUAACUCCGUGCCAGCAGCCGCGGUAAUACGGAGGGUGCGAGCGUUAAUCGGAAUUACGGGGCGUAAAGCGCGCGUAGGCGGUCUGAUAAGCCGGUUGUGAAAGCCCCGGGCUCAACCUGGGAACGGCAUCCGGAACUGUCAGGCUAGAGUGCAGGAGAGGAAGGUAGAAUUCCCGGUGUAGCGGUGAAAUGCGUAGAGAUCGGGAGGAAUACCAGUGGCGAAGGCGGCCUUCUGGACUGACACUGACGCUGAGGUGCGAAAGCGUGGGUAGCAAACAGGAUUAGAUACCCCAGUAGUC
rnacentral:rRNA from 1 species